AUAUGUAUCUCCUCUUUGCUACAAGCUAUUAGGGUUAUUGCACUAAAUUAAAGUUCACUUAUUGUUCAGGCCGGCCGGGCGGGCCGGGCUACAUUAAUAGCUAAUUAAGGCAACAUAUAUAGAAUAGUCUUUUUUAUUAUUUCUAGUCAUUUGAAUAAUGUAGUAUCAUCUUGUUCUUCUUAAUUUCCUCUUGGUUUUAAUUAAAUCUAUGUUUAGGCACAUGCAUUUAUAUAUAUAUUACCUUCAUCUUACUACAAAAAAUUACAUUUUAUUUAUCAUAAUUUGCUCUUUUUAGUGUUGUAUCUAAUCAUAUCCUUAAUUACUUGCAACUGCAGGAAUUUAGACUAUCACAUUUGUCAUUAGUUUCGGAGCAUGCAUGUU
rnacentral:lncRNA from 1 species